CAAUGAUGAACUUUCCUAGAUGACGAGUCUUAUCCAGUACUCUGAUGCAGAUAAACUCCAACUACCAUUCAUGCAUUUCCUGACU
rnacentral:snoRNA from 1 species